GAGGGUGUAGCUCAGUGGUAGAGCACCUGCUUAGCACGCACGAGGUCCUGGGUCCAGUCCCCAGUACCACUA
rnacentral:tRNA from 1 species